UACGUAGGGGGCAAGCGUUGUCCGGAAUCAUUGGGCGUAAAGCGCGUGUAGGCGGCUUGGUAAGUCCGUUCUGAAAGCCCGGGGCUCAACCCCGGGAGGCGGAUGGAUACUGCUGAGCUCGAGUCCGGAAGAGGCGAGUGGAAUUCCUGGUGUAGCGGUGAAAUGCGCAGAUAUCAGGAGGAACACCGGUGGCGAAGGCGGUUCUCUGGGCAUUAUCUGACGCUGAGGAGCGAAAGUGUGGGGAGCGAACAGG
rnacentral:rRNA from 1 species